rnacentral:rRNA from 1 species
UACGGGGGGAGCAAGCGUUGUCCGGAAUCACUGGGCGUAAAGGGCGCGUAGGCGGCCUGAUAAGUAGGGGGUGAAAUCCUGCGGCUUAACCGCAGGGCUGCCUUCUAAACUGUCAGGCUUGAGCACAGUAGAGGCAGGUGGAAUUCCCGGUGUAGCGGUGGAAUGCGUAGAGAUCGGGAAGAACAUCAGUGGCGAAGGCGGCCUGCUGGGCUGUUGCUGACGCUGAGGCGCGACAGCGUGGGGGAGCAAACCAGG